AAAGUGCGAUAAGCAAUGCGAAUUGCAGAAUUCCGCGAAUCAUCAGAUCCUUGAACGCAACUGGCGCUAAGAGGCUCUCCUCUUAGCAUGUCUGUUUCAGUGUCUGAAAACAUCAAAUUAACUUAAUGUGGUUGAUGACGAAAAGUAGAGGUUUACCUCUCUUUCUCGAAAUCUCCCAUGAAAGAUGUACAUGUGGGUCUUUGGACCCCUCAUCGAAUUGGUCACUGUCUCCUCAGUGAUUUCGAUAGGGGAAAUAAUUCAAUUACCUAAAUGCAUGUAGAUUUAAUCUAACUUCAAACUCUGCAUCUGAAAUCAGGCAAGAACACCCGCUGAACUUAA
rnacentral:misc_RNA from 1 species